rnacentral:rRNA from 1 species
GUGUCAGCAGCCGCGGUAAUACAGAGGGUGCAAGCGUUGUUCGGAAUUAUUGGGCGUAAAGCGCGUGUAGGCGGCUUCGUAAGUCGGAUGUGAAAGCCCUCGGCUUAACCGAGGAAGUGCGUUCGAAACUGCGAGACUUGAGUACCGGAGAGGGUGGCGGAAUUCCCGGUGUAGAGGUGAAAUUCGUAGAUAUCGGGAGGAACACCAGCGGCGAAGGCGGCCACCUGGACGGAUACUGACGCUGAGACGCGAAAGCGUGGGGAGCAAACAGGAUUAGAUACCCUGGUAGUCCACGCCGUAAACGAUGAGCGCUAGGUGUUGUGGGUGUUGACCCCUGCAGUGCCGCAGCUAACGCAUUAAGCGCUCCGCCUGGGAAGUACGGCCGCAAGGCUAAA